rnacentral:rRNA from 1 species
AUCUUCGGCCAUAGAACACAUAAAGCACCGCAUCCCGUCCGCUCUGCGCAGUUUAACAUGUGUAUCGCUCGGUUAGUACCAGGGUGGGGGACCACCUGGGAAUCCCGGGUGCUGAAGUUUUU